rnacentral:piRNA from 1 species
UCCUUUGACUGUGAUGUGGAAAUGUGAGC